AACGAACGCUGGCGGCAGGCUUAACACAUGCAAGUCGAGCGCCCCGCAAGGGGAGCGGCAGACGGGUGAGUAAUACGUGGGAACAUACCCAUCUCUGCGGAACAACUCCGGGAAACUGGAGCUAAUACCGCAUACGCCCUUCGGGGGAAAGAUUUAUCGGAGAUGGAUUGGCCCGCGUUGGAUUAGCUAGUUGGUGGGGUAAAGGCCUACCAAGGCGACGAUCCAUAGCUGGUCUGAGAGGAUGAUCAGCCACAUUGGGACUGAGACACGGCCCAAACUCCUACGGGAGGCAGCAGUGGGGAAUAUUGGACAAUGGGCGCAAGCCUGAUCCAGCCAUGCCGCGUGAGUGAUGAAGGCCUUAGGGUUGUAAAGCUCUUUCACCGAUGAAGAUAAUGACGGUAGUCGGAGAAGAAGCCCCGGCUAACUUCGUGUCAGCAGCCGCCGUAA
rnacentral:rRNA from 1 species